AUGACAGCCUUUAAUUCAAUCAAAGUGCGAGGUGUGGCACUUGAAAUCCAACUGGUCCAGUCUGGUGAUGAAGUCAGACAACCAGGACAAACAAUCAAAAUGUCUUGCAAAGUGUCUGGGUACACAUAUAUAAACCAAGGGAUGCACUGGGCAAGGCGGAAAGCUGGCCAAGGACUGGAGUGGGUGGCUUCCAUUACCAAUGGCAACGGAGACACUCAGUAUUAUGGUGGUAUUUUCAAAGGAGGCCGAUUCAUCAUCUCUAGAGACAAUCCCAACAACUUGUUGUUUCUGGAAAUUAAGUCACUGAAGCUUGAAGAUUCUGCUGCUUAUUUCUGUGCCAGAUGGUCAGGCGCACAGUGGAGAAGGAAGGCCACUGGGCCAUUCAAAAACAGUGUCCAAUCCCAAAUCAGGUUUGACCAAUCUGGUCCUGAAAUUAAAAGGAUUGGAGAGUCACCCAAUGCCUCAGACACCUCCAUCAGCACCACAUACCUGCAGCUGGCCAGCCUGAGAGCUGAAGACACGGCUGUAUAUUAUUGUGCAAGACGCACAGUGUGGAAAAACACAUACAAGGGCCUGCAGAAACCAUCCAGGAAAGGAGGAGCAGCAUACUCAGUCAUGAUCCCUAUCUUUCUGCAUUGGCCCUGA